rnacentral:rRNA from 1 species
CCCAACACCCGAUCCCAUUCCGAACUCGGCCGUGAAACGCCUCAGCGCCGAUGGUACUGCGUCUUAAGACGUGGGAGAGUAGGUCGCCGCCAGGU